rnacentral:sRNA from 1 species
UCUCUCUGUGCCCACUCCUCGAGGGCAGGAACUGUCCCUGUAUCAGUGAGGCAUUUGGACUUGGGGGAUGUUUUUAGAACAUCAGACCAGAAAUGAGGGAAGGUGGAAAUGGCCAAAUCAGGUUCCCCAAGUGAGUGCAUGCCGUCCGAGGGGCCGAGGAAGCAGAGUUCUUCUGACAUGGGCUCUCUGUUUUAAAAUAUCAGCCCUUCUCCCAUCUCAUUAUUUUUCCCCUGAAGCUCUUGCACAAGCAAACUAUAAAUAUAUCCUCAAAGCCUUAUGUUUCAUGACUCUUAGAUGCACCCCAGAAAUUAGUUUUCACUUGGGCACGGAGGAAGCUGUGAGGCUGUUCUCUGAUCCCUCCAAAUCCUGCAGAAUUACUGCCUUUAUUGUACAGAGCUAAUAGGGUUGGAACAGAACCACGGUUUUAGCCUGAUGACUCAGAAUUUCAGACUGAUGUGGAAUAUAUUGCUUUUUCCUCUCAAUUUCAGUUUGAAUCAGAAACUGCAACUGGAACAGGAGAAGCUUAGUUCUGAUUAUAACAAGCUGAAAAUAGAGGACCAAGAGAGAGAAAUGAAGCUGGAAAAGCUCUUAUUGCUCAACGAUAAAAGGGAACAAGCCAGAGAAGACCUCAAAGGGCUGGAGGAGACAGUGUCUAGAGAAUUGCAGACACUGCACAACCUUCGGAAACUCUUUGUCCAGGAUCUGACCACCCGAGUUAAAAAAAGUGUGGAGUUGGACAACGAUGAUGGAGGGGGCAGUGCUGCCCAGAAGCAGAAAAUUUCCUUCUUGGAGAAUAACCUGGAGCAGCUCACCAAAGUUCACAAGCAGCUGGUCCGGGACAACGCAGACCUGCGCUGUGAACUGCCCAAGCUGGAGAAGCGGCUGCGUGCCACGGCGGAGCGCGUCAAGGCUCUGGAGAGCGCGCUGAAGGAGGCCAAGGAGAACGCCAUGCGGGACCGUAAGCGCUACCAGCAGGAGGUGGAUCGUAUCAAGGAGGCCGUGCGGGCCAAGAACAUGGCCAGAAGGGCCCAUUCAGCCCAGAUCGCCAAGCCCAUCCGCCCCGGACACUACCCAGCCUCAUCUCCAACAGCCGUCCAUGCUAUUCGAGGGGGAGGAGGCAGCUCUUCAAAUUCCACUCACUACCAGAAAUAAAUACAAAAUAUGACUCCACGUAGCAUGUCAAGGACUACAUUAAUCACCAAUUCCUUUAUUUUUCCCCCCCUACAGUUUCCAUUUUUUUUAUACUUGCUUACUCCAGCCAUCUGCAGUACACCAGUUUCAGGUCUUUUGAGCUGUGUAAAGUUUCUGUGUGUACAGAUGUGUGCUCGGACUUUUCUCUUUUUGAGAAAUCUGAAGGAGAUGGUUGCAGAAGAUCCACUUACUACUCAGAACCAUUACCACCAACUCGGCCUCCGGGGUGUUGGGUGGUUUCUGGGUGGUUCCUGGAGCCUCCUCUGGGCAGUGCACUGUCCCAUCUGUACGCCCUAAUGUGCCAUUCCCUAGAGGGGAACAACCAAGUGCCGUGGAGGCAGAUGAUCAUGCUCUGCCUCAACUGUCUGGUUUCCUGUAAAAUAAACACAUUGUUUUAUAUUUUUAGGGAACAAAAAGUGCUGCUAUAGGGUUCAAAGUUUUCAUUCUGAACACUUUUCCGAAACAAAUUACCCCAAAGACACAUUUUGAAUAUCCUGGUCACAUCUUUGGAUCUGUAAAAUAUACCUUUUAGUAUGGCACCUGUUAAAAUGCAAAGCAAAUUUCUUUGGGGCAGAAAAACAAUCUGACAGUAGCAGUGUAGAAUUUGUUCAUUCAAAUACAUCUGUGUAAAUGCAAAAAGUCAUAAAAUUCACCUCCGAGCUGCUUGCUUUUGAACCUGCAGCAACUAGUCUUAGCCGGCCCGGUUUGAACAUCGUUCUUUCAGAAGUGCUGAAAAUGCUGCAAAGUUGGAUAAGUGGAAAUGUGGCUGCCCCUCUCCUCACUACUUCCUCUCUGAUCGUUCUGGAGCUUGCAUUGGGAAUGUCUGCUUUCUCUAACCAUUUUCAGCUUGAGUGGGUAUUGCUGAAGAAAUCCAACAUCAUUCCAGCAGUUGAAAAAGGAAGCCUUCGGGAGAAAGUGCUUGUCAAAAUUUUGUUCUUUGUGCUUGUGUAUGAGUAAGUUGCCAUGAAUAAGUUAUUAUUUUAACCCAUAAUUGGCGACUGUUUAUAUGAAUUCUUUCUUUGGCACCAAAUAGGUUUCAUCUUCUUAGGCACAAUUAGAAAAAAUCCACAUAGAUGGAUAUUUUACAUUUAGUUAUUGCUUUAUCCAAAUACAUGAAUCUAAAGCUGAAUCAACCCUUACUUCCAGUUGUGCUUAUUAAGAAGAUCAAUUUCCAAGUAGUAAAGUUUUCAGGGAAACUGACUGUGCUGCUAUUUGUUUUGACAAAUUUGGGGGUAAGUCAAUGACAACCAAACCAAUCUCGGUGGAAACUCCUAUCCUAUCAUGUUGUGUGCCCAAGAUGAGUGAGCUGGCACUGUGCCCUGAAGCUUUCACCACUGUAAUGAAAUAUAUGCCAGGGGAGACUUUGGGCUUUUCUCAUGACUGUGUGGGUCAAAGGUAGCUCAAGUGUGUGUGUGUGCGUGUGUGUGUGUGUGUAUGUGUGUAAAGUGCUAAGAACUGUGCAUUGACAUCCAAACAUUUCUUGUAUAAAAUUUCCCUAGCAAAGCAAACCUGCUUUGACUUAAUUUAUUUGUUAAAUGUUGCACUUUGUUUAUGUAUGUUUUGUUUUUGGUGGGGAAUAAGGAGAGAGAGGACGACAAAUUCUAUUGAAGUAUUUAUUUUGUGAAGAUGGCAAUUUUGCAUUUGUUUAAAUUUUUUUCAUUCUUUAAUUUUGUUAUCAGUGCCAGCCCAAUAUACCUGCUCUAUCAUUAUUUGCAGUCUGAUAAAAGGGUCCUUGUGGGGCAGGUUUUGCAAAGCUUAUCAGGUAAUAACAUAUGCCACAUAACCUUGUUGAUAUGUUUGCUUCUGAUUUGGGAAGCUAAACAUUGGUGUUUGAGAGGAUUGCCAAUUAUUAAUUGUCAUUACCACUACUCUCCAUUACUUUUUGUUUGGAAAUUGAACAAAGGUCAGUAAUGGUUUUUGGCUCUUGGUAAUAUCCAUCAUAAAAUAGAUUGUUUUAGAUUCUUUCCAGGGUGAUUUUUCCCUGGGUACCCCCUUUCUACUUCUAAAGAAUUGCUUGGCACUUUCAUGUUUCAAAGGGAAACAUUCACUUGUAGUUCCAUUUUACUUGAUCUCUACAAGGGACUGACAACAUUUGCUUUACUUUUAUUCGCAGAGAAAGUUGGCUUUGAUGUCUCUUAAAGAUAAUUCUGCUAGUUGCUGAUCAGCCAGUCAGUUCACCUAGCUUCAAUCUUUAUAGGACUUCUAAUCUAAUUUUCCUAUAGUGUGACUAAAAGGGAGGCAAAUUAUUGGAACGGAUUAUUCAAAUGGAUCCUUAAAUAUUGCUAUGUUUAAUAAGCCAGUUAUUAUAUCAGGACCAUGUUCUCUGUAGGCCACUUUCUAAAAAAGCCACAUAUGUGCAAUUUUCAGGUUUUUAGACUAUUGCUCCCUGUACUUUAAAUGUAAAAACCACACUUCUGAACAACUAAGCUCAUGAAUAUGAUUUUGGUUAUAUGCAGCUUUUGACUAGCAUGUAUUGUGUCUUUUUCUCCUCUAUGAAUAAUUUUAUAUUUCAUGCUACUUCUCGAAAGUUUACUCUUUGAUGCUCUAAGAGAACAGCCAGAUGGUUUAUAUGAAUAAUCUUUAUCUGCAGGAUGGUGGAUUGGUAAAUUAGGAGAAUGUUGUUUGAGAUAUCAAGAUUUAUGUCUGGGAACUAAAAUAUAUAAUGCCAAAUGUGUUUUUGUCAAUUACUAGAGAAUUCUGUGCAAACAUAUCAUCUCUUCAAAUGCUGCACACUUUGCUUUUGUUAAACAGCAGGUAGUAGACAGAACAAUAACAGUUUCGCAUUAAGACUUUUAAAGGAAAUAGAAUCGUGAUUAAGAAAUCAGAAUUUAUAGAUAUAUUGGGAUAAAUGAAGAAAUAAAAAUGUUUGUCUAGAAUGUAGCAUCUAGUGACUUUUUAAAGCCCUAACGUUUACAUAAAGAAGCUCUAGUUCUUAUAGAAAUAACAAAGCAAAUAAAAGUUCUUAACAAUCCCCUCUUUCGAAGUGCAUUUUUUUUAAGCAGGGCAGGAGACAUUUGGACUCUAGCUAGAUGACAUAUUGGGAAAGGCAGAGGGUGGAGGGAAGAUUUCACUUCAUUGUCUAGCCCAGAAUCUUGAGCAAGCUAAAGAAACCAUCAUAAUCUAAAAUUGCUUCAUUUAACACUAACAAUUUAGACUUUUUAAACCAAGCGUUGAAUAAUGGCUGGAUAACUGCCGAAGUAAGCGCCGCUCCAUGAAGUCUGCUUACUUAUUUAAAAAUUGUGUAUCAGUUUUAAAUACUGUUCAUUGUGUGCAGAUAUAAGGGGAAUAGGGCAUUCUGUAGAAUUAUACAUGUCUAGUUUGUAAAGUGUGUCCUGUGUACUGCAGAUGUGUGUUCUCUGGGCUUUAUGUAUCUGUACAGUAGCUUUCACAUUAAAAACAUUGUGGACAAACUUGUCCGGGGGGUUUGAGGGGAGAAUGGUGGUUUAUAUCAAUAACGAUGCUGUACUAUAGUCCAUGUAACAAAAGAUCUGGAAGUCACCCUCCUCUGGCCCACGGAAAAUUUUGGUAAUCUUCUAGGUUCUAAAAUGAAGAUGUAUGGGUACUCUGGCAGACUGCAUGUUGUAUAAUUUGAAAAAUACUAAAAGUGGAAAAUAAAAUUGAAUUAAACUUUG